rnacentral:tRNA from 1 species
CCUGGUGGCUCAGAGGUGAAAGCGUCUGCCUCCAAUGCAGGAGACCCAGGUUAGAUCCCUGGGUCAGGA